ACGAACGUUGGCGGCGUGGAUUAGGCAUGCAAGUCGAGGGAGGCCAGCGGGUAGCAAUAUCUGCUGAGUCGACCGGCGUAAGGGGCAGUAAUGCGUGGGUAACGUACCCUCCGGUUCGGGACACUCGGGUAAUACCGGUAAAUACCGGAUAAUGUAGGCAACUACCAAAGAUUUAUCGCCGGGGGAGCGGCUCACGUCGUAUUAGCUUGUUGGCGGGGUAACGGCCCACCAAGGCGAAGAUGCGUAGCGGGUGUGAGAGCAUGACCCGCGCCACUGGCACUGAGACACUGGCCAGACACCUACGGGUGGCUGCAGUCGAGGAUCUUCGGCAAUGAGCGCAAGCUUGACCGAGCGACGCCGCGUGCGGGAUGAAGGCCUUCGGGUUGUAAACCGCUUUAGGAGGGGAGGAAGCCGCAAGGUUGACCUAUCCUCAAAAUAAGCACGGGCUAAGUUCGU
rnacentral:rRNA from 1 species